GGGUGCGUAACGCGUAUGUAACCUACCUAUAACAGGGGCAUAACACUGAGAAAUUGGUACUAAUUCCCCAUAAUAUUCGGAGAGGCAUCUCUCCGGGUUGAAAACUCCGGUGGUUAUAGAUGGACAUGCGUUGUAUUAGCUAGUUGGUGAGGUAACGGCUCACCAAGGCAACGAUACAUAGGGGGACUGAGAGGUUAACCCCCCACACUGGUACUGAGACACGGACCAGACUCCUACGGGAGGCAGCAGUGAGGAAUAUUGGUCAAUGGACGCAAGUCUGAACCAGCCAUGCCGCGUGCAGGAAGACGGCUCUAUGAGUUGUAAACUGCUUUUGUACGAGGGUAAACUCACCUACGUGUAGGUGACUGAAAGUAUCGUACGAAUAAGGAUCGGCUAACUCCGUGCCAGCAGCCGCGGUAAUACGGAGGAUUCAAGCGUUAUCCGGAUUUAUUGGGUUUAAAGGGUGCGUAGGCGGUUUGAUAAGUUAGAGGUGAAAUCCCGGGGCUUAACUCCGGAACUGCCUCUAAUACUGUUAGACUAGAGAGUAGUUGCGGUAGGCGGAAUGUAUGGUGUAGCGGUGAAAUGCUUAGAGAUCAUACAGAACACCGAUUGCGAAGGCAGCUUACCAAA
rnacentral:rRNA from 1 species